rnacentral:rRNA from 1 species
AUGGCGAACCAGGGAUCCAAGAAGAUUGUGGAGAGGAACAGGAAGCGCAUGGAUCUCCUCUGGCGCAUAAUCCUCGUGUCCAACGUUAUUUACAUAGUAGUGAGGAUGGCUGUAAUGUACUCUUCUUUCACCUGGAAGCAUUGGAUUGGCCUCGUGGUGACAUCUGCUGCAUACUUUCUUUCAUACAAGCAACUCGCUAGUAUGACAAAGCCCGAAUAUUCUGACGCGGACAAUCGUGAACUUCUGAGUUCGGGUUAUGACUUGGCCACUGGUGGGCUUUCUGAAUAUAUAGAGGAUGUGAUAUACAUCACAGCAUUUGUGCAGCUUACGUCCAUUAUUUCUGGAAAAUUUUGGUGGACAUAUCUGGUGAUACCAGCUUUCGGUGGAUACAAGAUCUUUUUUCUGUUGAAAGGAACAUUCUUCGGUGGUGGUUCAGAGGGUGAAGUCGAAGAUGAGAAGUCUCGAAAGAAGAGGGAAAAAAUGGAGAAAAAGGCAUCUAGAGGGAAGAUGGUGAAAACCAGGACCCGUUGA